UACGUAGGGGGCAAGCGUUGUCCGGAUUCAUUGGGCGUAAAGAGCGUGUAGGCGGCCAGGUAGGUCGGUUGUGAAAACUGGAGGCUCAACCUUCAGAGGUCGACCGAAACCAUCUGGCUAGAGUCCGGGAGAGGAGAGUGGAAUUCCUGGUGUAGCGGUGAAAUGCGUAGAGAUCGGGAGGAAGGCCGGUGGCGAAGGCGGCGCUCUGGAACGUUACUGACGCUGAGACACGAAAGCGUGGGGAGCAAACAGG
rnacentral:rRNA from 1 species